CCCACGCCGUUUCGGGAAAAACCCCCGGGGAAACGUUGGGGUUAAUACCGAAAAUUGGCCUUUGCCCCCAAUGGUGUUUUGGGUGGAAAAAUUUUUUCGCCUUUGGGAUGGGGCUGCGGGCCUUAUAAGCUUUUUUGGUUGGGGGUAGGGCUUCCCAAGGCGACGACCGGGUAGCCGGCCUGAAGAGGGGACCGGCCCACCUGAGGACUAAAGACGUGGCCCAGAUCUCCUACGGGAGGCAGGAGUGGGGGAAUUUGGCCCAAUGGGGGGAAAGCCUGAUGGCAGCGACCCCGCGUGAGGGGAAAGACGGGCCUUCGGGGUUGUAACCCCUUUUCAGUAGGGACGAAGGGGUAAGUGAGGGUACCUGCAGAAGAAGCGCCGGCCAACUACGUUCCCAGGAGCCCCGGUAAGAAGUAGGGCGCGAGCGUUUUUCCGGAUUUUAUUGGGCGUAAAGAGCUCGUAGGCGGCUUGUCGGGUCGACUGUGAAAAACCGAAGUUCAACUGCGGGGCCUGCAGUCGAUACGGGCAGGCUAGAGUUCGGUAGGGGAGACUGGAAUUCCUGGUGUAGCGGUGAAAUGCGCAGAUAUCAGGGAGGAACACCGGUGGGGAAGGCGGGUCUCUGGGCCGAUACUGACGCUGAGGAGCGAAAGCGUGGGGAGCGAACAGGAUUAGAUACCCUGGUAGUCCACGCUGUAAACGUUGGGCGCUAGGUGUGGGGGGCCUCUCCGGUUCCCUGUGCCGCCGCUAACGCAUUAAGCGCCCCGCCUGGGGAGUACGGCCGCAAGGCUAAAACUCAAAGGAAUUGACGGGGGGCCGCACAAGCGGCGGAGCAUGCGGAUUAAUUCGAUGCAACGCGAAGAACCUUACCUGGGUUUGACAUGGCCGCAAAACUGUCAGAGAUGGCAGGUUCUUCGGGGGCGGUCACAGGUGGUGCAUGGCUGUCGUCAGCUCGUGUCGUGAGAUGUUGGGUUAAGUCCCGCAACGAGCGCAACCCUCGUUCGAUGUUGCCAGCGCGUUAUGGCGGGGACUCAUCGAAGACUGCCGGGGUCAACUCGGAGGAAGGUGGGGAUGACGUCAAGUCAUCAUGCCCCUUAUGUCCAGGGCUUCACGCAUGCUACAAUGGCCGGUACAAUGGGCUGCGAUACCGUGAGGUGGAGCGAAUCCCAAAAAGCCGGUCUCAGUUCGGAUCGGGGUCUGCAACUCGACCCCGUGAAGUCGGAGUCGCUAGUAAUCGCAGAUCAGCAACGCUGCGGUGAAUACGUUCCCGGGCCUUGUACACACCUCCCGUCACGUCACGAAAGUCGGCAACACCCCGAGCACGGUGGCCCAACCCUUGUGGAGGGAGCCGUCGAAUGAUUGGAUUGAUGCCCCU
rnacentral:rRNA from 1 species